AUUCCAGGCUGUGGAUCCGGUCGUGGGAAGCAGGCUCCAGCCCUCACCAGCAGGGACUCAACAAACGCCAUCUGUCAGAUGAGUCAUGGGACCAGAAGCUUGGGAGAAGACAUGCAGAGCCAACCACUAACAAAACUGGCAAAUGAAAUAAAUGCCCAGAAACCUGCUCCAUCCCCAGCAUUCCUUAAGUCCUAUAAAUUGCACCACCUUUUACCAGUUUUCAGAAACUAAAAGUCAUCCUUGACAUCCGUCCAAUCAAUCACCUCCUAUUUAUCUCCCAAAUUCAUUCUUUUUUCUUUUUGAAACAGAGUUUUUACUCUUGUUGCCCAGGCUGAAGUGCAAUGGCACGAUCUCAGCUCCCUGCAACCUCCGCCUCCCAGGUUCAAGCCAUUCUCCUGCCUCAGCUUUCCUGAGUAGCUGGGAUUACAGGCAUGCGCCACUACGCCUGGCUAAUGUUGUAUUUUUAGUAGAGAUGGGGUUUCUCCAUGUUGGUCAGGCUGGUCUUGAAUUCCCAACCUGAGGUGAUCCACCCACCUUGGCCUCCCAAAGUGCUGGGACUACAGGUGUGAGCCAUUACACCCGGCAAAUUCAUUUUUAUAAUCUUGCCACCCCCACAACCACUGCCCUCAUGGACCCUGGGCACGCCUCACCCGAAUUACAGAAAUUCCCUCCCAGCUGGUAAAACUGUUUGUGUGUGGCUCUCCUUCAUUCCAUCCUCCCUGGUUUAGCCAGAGAAAUAAUUCUAAAAUGUACACAUCCCAAAGCAUCUCAUUUUCCUGCAUGCAGUCUUUCAUCAUCCAUUCACUAACUGGAGGACAACAUCUGAAUUUAUUAGUGAGCAUACAAAGGCUUUUCAUCCGCUGAACCCAGCGCAUCUGCUACCAUUUCCCUGGUCUCCGGUCAGAACUAGUGACUGUCCCAUAAACAGGUUCUGCUGGACUUCCAGUCAAGAUGGAGCGGGCCGCACACAUACAGAGCUGAACUUGUAUCGCCGUGUAGAUGAAGACAAACACCUUUAGGAGAUGGCAGAGAAACAAAAUGGGAAACCCUCAGGUCUCCAAAUGACUACACCAAGCAGAAUUGCCCCACCAGCCUGCACCAUUCAUUUCUAGACUAUGAGCAAGAAGUACACUUCCAUCUUAUUUAAACAACCAUAUUUGGGGUUUUUGUUGUUGUUAUUGUUGUUGUUAUAGGAGCUUAGCUUUUACUCUAAGAAAUACAGCUACUCAACUCACUUCAUUAGGAUCUUAACUAUAAUAUCAAAACCUCCUAAGCACAGAAUAAAAAAUACAGUAGAGCAAUAUCAUUUAUGAUCAUAGAUGCAGAGCUUCCAAAUGAAAUACUAGCAUAUUCAAGGAAAGAUAUAUAUACCAUGACCUAGUUGUGUUUAAUUUCUGGAAUUCAAAAAUGGAAUGUUUGACAUAAGAAAAUCUAUUAGGCCGGGCGCGGUGGCUCACGCCUGUAAUCCCAGCACUUUGGGAGGCCGAGGCAGGCAGAUCACGAGGUCAGGAGAUCGAGAUCAUCCUGGCU
rnacentral:lncRNA from 1 species